ensembl:lncRNA
UAAUUGGCCACGCCCCACGGGGAUGCUGAAAUGGAUUUCCCAAAAAAUGAAGGAAAAUCAUUAGUUCAUCAUAACAUCAACAUGGGCAAGAAUAAGAUCAGAACUUCUUAGGAAUUUUAGAAGCAUCUGAGACAAAGUUGAGACUUCAUAGACACAGUAUUGAAUCUCCAAAGGAAUUGAUUGGAUCAUGAAAAGUAGCCUUUACAGUGGAGUACAGUGGCUGGUGGAGUUUAAGAAGCAUUUGUGACUUCGACAGAGAAGCUCUGGCCCGACCCGUCCUGCUGAAGUCUGAAGGAGGAACAGGAAGAUGCUCCAGACCCCGCUGGCAUUUCUGCCUUUGUUUUCAGCAUCAUGAUCUCACAGUGUUGAGGAAUAUACUGCGUUUAGACCAGACCUCAGCUGACGGAAACCCUUCACCUCUAUGCUAAUCACCCAGAGCUCCUUCAAUACCUCAUCUGCAUUUCAUUCUCUGCUUUUGUCUAGUUCAAGAAGAGACUUGUUUCAUUUAAAAAACCUUCUGAUGGACUCCCGAUAACACUGAACAUUAAAAUCUAUUAAUGGUUGGCUGUAAGUUACCUUAUCAUAUGGUGAAAUAAAUGAUACAAGAGGAUAAUACAU